rnacentral:rRNA from 1 species
AUUGAACGCUGGCGGAAUGCUUUACACAUGCAAGUCGAACGGCAGCACGGACUUCGGUCUGGUGGCGAGUGGCGAACGGGUGAGUAAUGUAUCGGAACGUGCCCAGUCGUGGGGGAUAACGUAGUGAAAAUUACGCUAAUACCGCAUACGAUCUAUGGAUGAAAGCGGGGGAUCGCAAGACCUCGCGCGAUUGGAGCGGCCGAUAUCAGAUUAGGUAGUUGGGGGGGUAAAGGCCCACCAAGCCAACGAUCUGUAGCUGGUCUGAGAGGACGACCAGCCACACUGGAACUGAGACACGGUCCAGACUCCUACGGGAGGCAGCAGAGGGGAAUUUUGGACAAUGGGCGAAAGCCUGAUCCAGCCAUUCCGCGUGCAGGAUGAAGGCCCUCGGGUUGUAAACUGCUUUUGUACAGAACGAAAAGGUUUCUACUAAUACUAGGAGCUCAUGACGGUACUGUAAGAAUAAGCACCGGCUAACUACGUGCCAGCCGCCGCGGUAA